GAAUCUAAUUGUGCCUCGAUUUCAUGAAAAUCCUAAGUGGAAUCUUUAUGAAUCUUCAUGAACAUCCUGAAGAACUGCAAUUACUACUAGGCUUGACGGGAAGACCCGAGUCAAGAAGUCACAGCAGAAGAGGUGCUUGCAGCUCUGCUGGUGAUUCCCCAGAGAGCCCCCUCAGCAAGGGGCUGAAAGGGCUGCCGAGGCCCUGGUGGAAGCUACUCACUUUUCUAGGCUAAAGGCAACGCAACAG
rnacentral:lncRNA from 1 species